UACGUAGGGUGCGAGCGUUGUCCGGAAUUAUUGGGCGUAAAGGGCUCGUAGGCGGUUUGUCGCGUCGGGAGUGAAAACCAGGUGCUUAACACCUGGCUUGCUUUCGAUACGGGCAGACUAGAGGUAUUCAGGGGAGAACGGAAUUCCUGGUGUAGCGGUGAAAUGCGCAGAUAUCAGGAGGAACAUCAGUGGCGAAGGCGGCCUUCUGGUCCAGUACUGACACUCAAGUGCGAAAGCGUGGGGAGCAAACAGG
rnacentral:rRNA from 1 species